UUGCAGUGAUGAUAAUUUAAACCAUUCACAGACACCAUAUAAAAGCUAAGCGCUGACAAUCUGCUUCAAUAUUUUUUUGGAGUUUGGGAGUCUUGCUUAGCCGGUUAUGGACCCUGGUUAAUAAAUUGGCACUGAGUCUU
rnacentral:snoRNA from 1 species